CGGCGUGACCGUGUUUGAGGGCGAAGCAAAAAAGUUUUGGCAUUAGUGUCUAUAUCCAAAACAGGACAAAAAUAACCCGAAGUUAGCACGAGGACAGAGCUGUAUCAAAGCAUCCCAAUUUUGGACAUUUGAUCCGCCUAUAUAUUGAACGCGGGAAAUAUAACGCAAUCGAUGUAAACAGUACAUUGUGACGUCAUAUUCAGCGUCGUUAUCUAGCAAAUUUACAAACAGCGUUUGAACCACAACAAAAAACAUGGCGUUAAUCGUGGAGUGAUUUUAUAUGAUUAAGAAAAUCAGAUUUACAGGUUUUUACGGAUUUUAUGUAAUGUCUCAGAACGACGUGAACUAGGGUAGACGAGAUUCAAAAUGGAGGAAUACAUGUCCACGCGCUAAUAUUCGACUCGACGCCAUUGGUACCAAACUUUUCAAGUUCCAUAGAUAUAAAAGGGCAAACAACACAGCUGGAUAAAGCAUCCUAUAUCUGCACCUCGUAAAGCUAUGACAAUGAGAGAAAUGUAUCCACCCAAGCAAUCAGAAUAUAGAGUGCAAUCUGGAAGGUGCGCUGCAGCUCAAAGAGAGCCAUGGUUAUUGGCAUCAAGUUCUCCAUCAGCUUUACCUCACAGGCACCACUUGUGAUUUCAUAGUUUGAACACCAAUGAACAUGGAAGUGAUUCUCAUCCUUCGAGAUGAAUUAUGGGAAUUAUACUUGGCAUACAUGAUUGAGCCUUUGUGCCCUCUCUGCAAUAACCAACUAGACAGACUUGUAAAAAUUCAAAUGUCUUCCAUUAGUUUUAUUUUGUUUUUGCUACAAAUGAUCAGUGUAAAGAUGUGCAUGAAUCACCAUUGUAACAAUUUCUUUGACUAGCAACCUUAAAUAAAUGUUCACUUUA